rnacentral:misc_RNA from 1 species
AUGAUUGGCCUGAUGGCCUUAUCGAAUAUCCAACACCUCUGUGAACCGUUUUGACCCUCGGGUCUUUUUUUACAUGCAAACAUUUGUGUAACGAACGUCUUGUUAUCUUAACAAAACA